UACGUAGGGGGCAAGCGUUGUCCGGAAUCAUUGGGCGUAAAGAGCGCGUAGGCGGCCCGAUAAGUCCGCUGUGAAAGUCCAGGGCUCAACCCUGGAAUGCCGGUGGAUACUGUCGGGCUCGAGUCCGGAAGAGGCGAGUGGAAUUCCUGGUGUAGCGGUGAAAUGCGCAGAUAUCAGGAGGAACACCAAUGGCGAAGGCAGCUCGCUGGGACGGUACUGACGCUGAGACGCGAAAGCGUGGGGAGCAAACAGG
rnacentral:rRNA from 1 species